GAUGAACGCUAGCGGCAGGCCUAAUACAUGCAAGUCGAACGGGAUCCAGAUCAAAGCUUGCUUUGGUUUGGUGAGAGUGGCGCACGGGUGCGUAACGCGUGAGCAACCUACCCUUGUCAGGGGGAUAGCCCGGCGAAAGUCGGAUUAAUACCGCAUGACAUCAUUGAGAGGCAUCUUUCUAUGAUCAAAGAUUUAUCGGACAAGGAUGGGCUCGCGUGACAUUAGCUAGUUGGUAAGGUAACGGCUUACCAAGGCUACGAUGUCUAGGGGCUCUGAGAGGAGAAUCCCCCACACUGGUACUGAGACACGGACCAG
rnacentral:rRNA from 1 species